rnacentral:ribozyme from 1 species
GUUGAAGUAGUAGUAACGUUUUCUUUUUUGUGUCUCUUUUCUAUUCUUUUUCUACUUUCACUUUACUUAUUUUGGGCAAUUUUCCUGUCCUCUUGAAUGAAUUCAAUACUGCACAACCAAAAACAAAAUUCCACCCCCCCAAAGCUGCACAAUUUGCCAUUUUCUGACUGCAACUGUAAGAAGAAAGAAAACAUAU